AUGGGGAGCCCUUGGGCACCCCAGCUCAGCCCAGCCGGGUGGACAUUCCAGACCUCACGUGAUAAAGGGGAGGCCAUUGGCCCUCCGGUCCCCUAUUUUAAAAACGGGGUCCCUCACUUUCGGUCCAACCUAUUCAUAAACAAAGCCAGGCGCACCUCGCUCUCCCCGCCGGAAAACAGCCCAUUCCGGGCGAGGACAACUUCCCCCAGGCAGCGAGUGGGGUCUGAUGCGGGGAGUGUGCGCCGCAGACCUGCAAGCAGCCGCCCCCGCAGGCGCAGCACCCGCCCAGCACUGCGAGUGAUCUGCGACCGAGCAUACUGCGGCUUGGGAAGGCUUCGGUAUAGGAGCGGCCACCGAGCGAUCACCGGAGCUAGGUCUCCCAGGCCCCGCGGCUCAGGCUGCGGGCGUCCCCCGCCCCUCCCAAACACCGACCCCUCCUUCCCCAUCCCUGGCUCUCCGCACCUGAACUUCGGGGGAACCCGCGCCGCCAAACUUUCCGCGGACUUGCGGCGAACUCCGGCCCCGGCCGCGCACGGAGCCCCGGGGGAGGAGAGGGAGGGAGGCGGGGAAGGGGAGAGGGUUGGCCUCCCGGGGGGGGGGCGGAGGAGGGCCCGACACCUACCGGCUCCGCGAGUCGUCCGAGCCGCCACGGUCGCCGCGAGGCCGAGGGGGAGGGGCGGGGCGGGGAGCUGCGCUCCGCUCUGGGCACCGCCGCGGUGCGCUCCGCUCCAGUCGCCCGCCGCGCCCGGGGCCAGAGCCGGAGUCGCGCCGCCGCGGCUGGCCCAAGGCGGGGAGGGGGGGGGAGCCUGCAGCACCUGCCCCUCCUCCCCCUCCCCGCGGCCCAAAUUAAAAAACAACAAAAAGCAACUAAUCACCCCGGAGCGCAGCGCCUCGCGGCGCGGCGGGCGAAGGACUCGGCGUGCGGCGCCCGGACUCAGCAGGCGGUGCGCAUUGCUAGGCGCAGGCUGGGACGCGGGGCUGGGCUGUCGGGGAUGAGGCUCUCCUCUUCUGGCUCUGCUCGGACGCCUGAUCUCGCCGCCGCCUCUACAUCCCAGCUCAGGCUCCGCCGCCUCUGCCGCCGCGCCGCGCGCCCGCCCGGGCAGGAGCUCCGAACGCUGCCCGGGGGCUGCCGGCAAAACCCGGACCGGACUAGCGGCUCCCUCACCCCCCCCUCUCCACCUCGGAUUCCCUCCCUCCUCCGCGGCCUCCCUCCCAGAUCAGCUUUGGCCACUUGGACGCCGCAGGCUCUGAAGCUGGAGUCGCAGCCGUUGCGCCUCAAGAUCCCCGCGUCCUGGCGAGGUCCUCCCAGGCUGAGCUCCCCCACGCGUCAAGCUUCACCUUUUUUCCAUGCAACUUUACAAAUACAUAAGUAAAUAAAUACCACAGGACCCCUUUGUAGGAGAUGCCUGGGCUUGGAGACGCACCUUCCGUGGAAAAUCCGCAGACCUUCUGCUCCCUGCUCAACUGUUCGCUGGGGCAACAAGCUACAGGGAUUGAGAAGGAAGGUUUGGCAGCUCAGCCCUCACCCCCACCCCCCAGCUCAGGUGCUGCUCGAUCUGCCAGACUCUCAGUUCAAAGACCGUACCCUUCCCAAAUACACUUGCCUGCAUUCAGUAGACCCUAAUUCCAACGGAAGAAAAAAGGAGGCAGAGUCCUGCUCCCAUUUCACAGAUGAAGAAACUAAUCAGAAAGAGGACAUUUUGAGUUUUUUAGGAGGCAGGCUCCUACCCAACUAUAAUCCUGGGGCAAAGCAUGUACACUGGUGCCCUAGAGCUGUGGCCUAUGAACAGGGAGCCUGUAAUAGUACCUGGAACCAAGCAACAUUCAGUAGAUAACUAGCUAAGAACUAAAUCUCAGCCCUGCGCCUGGUGGGAACAGCAGUUUUGAGACAGCACCUAUUCCAUCUGUACCUCUGUCCUUUGACCAAGUCCCCUCCCUUAUCUGCCCAGCUUGGGCUAAUCCUACCUACAUCUGAUGUCUUCUCAGAGAACCAUAGAAUGAGCCCUGGACUCCUAUCUUCCUGGAGUGAUAGUUCUGCAGUCUUGAGGGAUUUGAGUGGGAGGUCAGGGUUGCAGUAGUCAGACCUUCAGGCCAGAGAAAACAGCCUCCAGACCCAUGGGGAUUUCCGGAGCAGUGAGGGUGGGAGCAUCAGCUUGGUGGUAAGUAUUACCAUCUAAUACCAAUUGAAGUCCAGAUAACAGAGAGUUAACUGCAGUGGCCCGGGUGCCGCCAGCCACAGACUCUGGCCUCUAUGGGAGAAGUGAAAUCGCCUCCCACAGCUGCUUCCUCUCUGGUUGUGGGUCUCCCUAGAGCCACCCUCCAAGCCAUCUGUGUAUGGACUGAUGGGGCAGAUGGAGUGGGGUGGUGGCAUGUCAAGGACAGAGCUCACCUGGGUUGUUACCUGUCUCCCACUCUGACAUCCCAGACCACAAGGUGACUCCGCCCAGCUCUAGGAACACCCCCUUGCCAGUUCCUACCUACUGUCAAAGAAUGGUCUCCUGGAGGAGGUGUUUAGCUCCCCUUAACCUCUAGCUGAUUUCUUCAUAGUCACCCCCAAAGAAGCCUGUCAGCUAAGUAAAAAGGCGCUUGCAAUGUAAAUAG